rnacentral:rRNA from 1 species
AGUGAACGCUGGCGGUAGGCCUAACACAUGCAAGUCGAACGGCAGCACUGUAAGAGCUUGCUCUUACGGGUGGCGAGUGGCGGACGGGUGAGGAAUACAUCGGAAUCUACUUUUUCGUGGGGGAUAACGUAGGGAAACUUACGCUAAUACCGCAUACGACCUACGGGUGAAAGCAGGGGAUCUUCGGACCUUGCGCGAUUGAAUGAGCCGAUGUCGGAUUAGCUAGUUGGCGGGGUAAAGGCCCACCAAGGCGACGAUCCGUAGCUGGUCUGAGAGGAUGAUCAGCCACACUGGAACUGAGACACGGUCCAGACUCCUACGGGAGGCAGCAGUGGGGAAUAUUGGACAAUGGGCGCAAGCCUGGUCCAGCCAUACCGCGUGGGUGAAGAAGGCCUUCGGGUUGUAAAGCCCUUUUGUUGGGAAAGAAAAGCAGCAGGUUAAUACCCCGCUGUUCUGACGGUACCCAAAGAAUAAGCACCGGCUAACUUCGUG